rnacentral:lncRNA from 1 species
CAGUUAUAAACCAUAAAAAUAAAUAAUAACCCAAAUUAAAUAAAAGUCCCAUAAAGUCCACAAUUUACAUAAAAAAUUACUCCAGAAUAUAAUUAAAAAUUAAAUACCCAAAGUUGAAAAAAAAGUUUAGAUUCGUAUGGCCAUUGCCAAGUCCUCUGUUGCACCGAUUCGUCAUGACUUGAGAUUACCUAUACAGAUUAAGCAAAACGAGUGAGUUUACGUAAACUCAGUGUGUAGUUCCCCGUGUAAACAAACAGACAGUAUACAAAAUAAACUCAGUCUGGACUUAAGCCCCUUUUCAGAAUCAGUGACAGUAUCAGUUAGGGCUUAAGCCCAUCUCAGAACAAAAACAGUCAUGCAUUUCGGCCUUGGCCUGUUACAGUAUCAGUAAUUAGUACAGUAACAAGUUAUGCAGUAAACAAGUCCUACCCAGCCAGCCUCUACACUCCAUCUCUGUCCAACCCUACACUUAAUGUGAGAAUAUAAUCAACCCACCCAUCCCUACACUCCAUAAUAGUACCGAAAGCGACACUAGAAAGUAAUUUGCAGUUGAGCUGCCAGUAUAUUAGGCUUAAAGCCUUUCAGUACACUUCCUCCACAUAUAUUCCAUCCCUAUGCAAUGCAACAUACAGUCAUGGCAUGCUAUCACAUAGUAUCAUGUAUAUAAUCAGUACAGUAUUCUAAUCAUGCUCAGUAAAGAGUCAUACAUAUAUAAUUUCGUCAAUUAGGGAAUCAAAGCAUUGCUUACCGACACCAUAGUAGGCUCACCAGUCAUCUCGGGCGACCCGAGCAACCUUAGCAAACAAAUCAGUAAAUUGGGCUCACAUGCCUAUGUGAUUUGCCCGUGUGGGUCCACACACCCGUGUAGCCUACACGACCCAAAUUGGCCUUGGCCGUGUGGAUCACACGGCCUGGCUCAACAUCCCACAUGCUCAUGUGGUUCACCUAUGUGGGCCUACAUGCCCGUGUGGCCCACACGACCCAAAUUGGCCUUAGCCGUGUCUCACACAUAGCCUACCUGACCAUCACACGACCGUGUCUGCUGCACACAGCUGGCCUCGUCGACCACACACCCUUGUUCUAUCACACGGCCUGCCAUACGAGUGACCAUACGCCAGUGUAGCUACACAGAAUACUUUUUUGGCUUUUUGCCGAACUCCGUUUUCUGUGUUUUGGGUACACACCUGGUUCAAUUUCAACGCGUAAUCACUCCCGAGCACUCUAGAACCUAUAUUCGACAAUAAGAAGCCCAAUAUCAGUCACUUCAUCGAAAUUGCUAUGAACAGACAAUUCUCAAAAACCAUCGUCAACCUUACCUCUCUUAAGCAACCCCAAUUCCACAUGACCAUCGCGACAAAAGGAAUCCACCAGCCCCUUAAUUUGCACCUAAACAGACAGUGACUCUAAUCAAAUGAAUAUUAAUUGAAUAAAUCGAAAGGACUCACUUACCACUUACCGAACAUGUGAACUAUGUUGCACAAAUACGAUGAAUCGAAAACGAAGCUAAAAAGGGAAGGAAGAAAAAGGCGAAUUCAGCAAAAAGAAAGAGAAAAUUCGACAACAAAGAAUCACGUCAGAAAUUUGGGAGAAACAACCAAAAUUUUGAAAAUAAAACUACCCAGGACAACCCCAACUCCCACUCUCUCAAAUCUUUCCACUAAUCCCACUACUCAGAAUUCUGAUGCAACCAAAACUCUAUCACCAACCCGAGCAAAAUAAAACACCUUUGCUAAAGUAGGGAUUUGAACACAGGUCCUCUAGUAGACUAAUACUCCUCCUAACCACCAGACCAACAGACCCAUUCUAAUGUGAAAUUACUAAUAAUUUAAUAUAAGCCCUAAAGGCUAGGUUAAAGCUUUAUUCAUAAGAAAACAAAAAAAUUUUCCCAAGAUAAGGCUUGAACCCAAGACUUCUCAAACACUCCCAGAACAUAUAACCACUGAAGCAGAUACAUUGUUGUGUCAAAUUUUUAACAGAACCAAAUUUAUAAAUUUUGGGGCGUUACAUGGGUUCUUCAAAGUACAAGGCUACCAGAAUCUUGAAUUAGAAACACGUGUAUCUUGGUUAGAUAAUCAGUAAGGGUUAGUUUGUAGGUCAUACCGGGACCAGCUAUGAGAGGAAGAAUUGGUGGUUAAGACGUUCUUAACUGCUAUAACCAGCUUAAAGUUUGAAAGAGAAAAUUAAUUUUCAAGGAUCAAAUUGCAAAUCUGAAAUCCACCGAGUCUAAGGCUAAGGCUUAAUUAUCUCUGUUUAAAAAAAAUCUAAAUUUAUUUUUCAAUUUAAAUUUAUUUCUAAUAUUAAUUAAUUUUUAUUUACGCUGAUUCGACUAUUUACUUCUUAAACAUUUUCAAAACCCCCUGAUUUAUUUGUUUAUGUUUUUGCAGGUCCGUUUGGAGUCGUAGGCACGACUUUUGCCACAACUUUCGACACGAUAAACGUUCUGUUCACAAGUUAAACGCAGAAGUUGAUUAUAACAUCCAAUCUCUGUGGACUCGACCCUACUACCACUCUUUAUUACUAUUUAAAGUUAUUUUUGUAGAAAUUACUUUUGGUGGUUUCAACGCCCAUCAUGAAAAGAUGAUGUUAUUGUUAGUCUGAAGAGCUUUUUCAAGAAUUACAUAGACGUUUUGGUUAAGGAGAAUAAUGACGAUAAGGAAUAGAGAUUCAUUGGGUUUUAUGGAGUGUCGUUUGCCAACAAUAAAAAUGACUCUUGGAAUUUACUUAGGAGGCUAGGGUAGAAUCAAGGUUCCCCUUGGUUGGUUAUGGAGAUUUCAACGAAAUAAUUUGUUCUUUUGAGAAGGUUGGUGGUAUGCUAAGGAAAGAGAGAAGAAUAGAGGUUUUUCGAGAAGUCCUUGAAGAGUGUCAACUAAUAAAUAUGGGCUAUUCUAGUGUUUGGUUUACUUGGGAAAGAGGGAAUAUGCUGGAGAGAAACAUUCGUGAGAGAUUAGACAGGGGUUGCAAAUGAUGAAUAAUUGACUUUGUUUCUAAAUUCUUGAAUCCCACACUUGUCGCAUUCCUUCUAAGACCAAUGACCACUACUUAUAAGUACAGAUCAAAGGAGGGCAUUUUUAGGGGAAUCGAGAUUCAGGUUUGAAGCUUGUUGGACGAUAGAAGAAUCGUUAAAAUGAGAAAUUAAAUGGUUAUAGGAGUCCACCAAUGGUACUAUUUUUGACAAGUUGGACAGGAUGCGAAAAGGAUUGAAGGGUUGGGAAAAAUCAAUUAAGGCUAAUCAAGAUGGUUUGAAAUUGGGAUCUUACAAAGAAAGCAUUAUGGAGAUGGACAGGGAUGAUGACACAUUGGUAGAGUUCAUAGACAUGAAAAUCAAACUUAAUUUAGAGAUUGAUAAAGAUGAAGCUUUUUGGGAGUAGAAGGCAUGUGCUAACUAGCUUCUUUUGGGGGAUAAAAAUAUAGCCUUCUUUCAUAAUUAUGCUUAUGUUUAUAGGCAAAUGAAUUCUAUUAGUAGAUUGGAGUGUGAGGAUGGAAGAGAGGUUUGUGAUUAAGAAGAGAUUGGGGAAAUAGCUUCUAGAUUGUUUUCAAGACCUGUUUUCGUCGAAUGGGAUAGGUGAUCUAUCACACAUAUUGUUUGGAAUAGAGGUUAGCAUUCCCUCCGAUAUCAAUUCAAAUUUAAUGGCAAAAUACAUGGAAGAGGAGGUCUAUGGGGCUUUAAAGGAAAUGGGCCCUACUAAGGUGUCGGGGUUGAUGGUUUUUCGACUUUGUUUUUUCAAAGGUAUUGGCAUAUUGUAUGGAGCGAUGUCAUUGCGUACAGUUUGAGCAUAUUGAAAGACAGAAAAGAUUUUGAACUUGUAAAUAUUACUAAUAUUAUGCUAAUUCUUAAAAUUCCAAAUCCUACGAACCAGUAAAUUUUAGAUCUAUCAGUUUAUGUAUUGUCAUUUAUAAAAUUGUCGCAAAAGUAGUAGCUAAUUGACUUUAGGGAGUUAUUGGCACAUGUAUUAAUGAUGCUUGAAUGCCCGUUUGUGCAUUGGCUAUUAAUCUCUAAUAAUGUGAUAUUAGCCUAUGAGCUUUUGCAUACUUUUUGACAGAAGCGUACGAGGAAAAAAUACUACAUGACAUUGAAGCUAGAUAUGAGCAAAGCUUAUGAUAGGGUUGAAUAGGGUUUCCUAAAGGAAGUAAUGUUGCGAAUGGGUUUUGCUAAAGAAUAGGUAGAUCUAAUAAUGAAGUGUAUUUUUUUAGUUUCUUACUCGGUGAAUGCUAAUAGGAGUAGUGGGAGAAUUUUUAAUCCUAAAAGAUGGCUUCGUCAAGGUGAUCCACUUAGUCCUUUUUCUCUUCCUCAUUUGUAAUGAGGGACUUUUGGCGUUGAUGAGAUUAGUAAAGAAAGGGGGAUUGUAAAUGAGAUAUGGCUAGUAGGAAGAGUCCACAAAUCUCACAUUUGCUUUUCUUGAAUGAUUGUAUUCUCUUUGGUGAGGCGACAAGUAGAGAAGUAACAUUUUGAAGGGAAUCUUAAAAGAAUAUGAGAGCUGCUCAAGUCAGUGUGUGAAUUUUAGCAAAUCGACGGUCUUUUUUAGUUCGAAUACAACUGAUGAGGAUAAAGGGAGAAUUUUGAGUAUGUUGGGAAUGCAGUUCUAAUUAAACCCGAAAAAAUAUUUAGGGCUUCCAAAUAUGGUGGGCAGGAGGAAAAAGGCGUCUUUUCAAAAUCUAAAGGAUCAAGUAAAAAUACGAAUUGAAGGGUGGAGUACGAGGUUGCUAUCAUAGAAGAGCAAAAAGGUUUUUAUUAAAUCCAUAUUGCAGGCAAUUCCAAUGUAUACUAUAACAUGUUUUUUGUUACCAAAAUCUUUUUGUGGGGAAUUAGAAAGUCUAAUGGCUAGGUUUUGGUGGCAGAAAAGGUAUAGUAGGAGGGGGAUACAUUAGUGGGAAAGUUUAAUGUUGCUUUGCUGGCAAAGCAAGGAUGGAGGCUUAUUAAUUACCCAAAUUCGUUAAUUGCCCGUGUUCUUAAAGAAAAAUGUUUUCCUAGUAUCGAUUUUUGGAAAAGCAUUUGGGCUACGAGGGGUGUUUUACAUGAGGGACUUUGUUAGAGAAUGGGUUCGGGUGAGAAAAUAUCAAUUAAUAAGGAUGCUUGGAUUCCAGAGGCUGAAAAUUACAGGUUAUCUCGCAUUGUUCAUAGCAUGCAAAAUUCUACAAUGGCAUAUCUAAUUUAUGCUAAUAAUAGAGCAUGAAAACAAGAGUUGAUUGUCAAUACAUUCUCGGAGGUGGAUGCUGCUAGGAUCCAUCGUAUUCCUCUGGCGAAGAAGACCCAUGAUGAUCUACUUGUGUGGAGUGGUGAGCUCUCGGGGUAGUUUUCAGUACGUAAUGCCUACAAACUAUUACAAAAAUCUCCUAGGAAUCCUAAUGCUUAUGCUUUAUAGACCAGCUACAAGAUUUCUAUAAAAAAAAUAUUGUGCCUAAACCUCCCUUCUAAACUGAAAAUUGCAAUAUAGAGGAUAUCCUAGAAUUAUUUACCUACACUAGUCAAAAUGCAACAUAAGAAAUUGGUGAAUAAUGUGAAUUGUCCUCGGUGUGGAAGAGGUGUUGAGACUGCAGACUAUUUAUUCAGCAAUUGCCCCGUAUCCGUCGAGAUUUGGUCAUAUUUAAUUUUAUCAAAUAUCCUUAAUAAACCAGAGUUGGGUUUUGUAUAGUGACUCACCUGAGUUUUUGGGGAAUACUCAAUCCAUCAGAGGCAUCUGUUCUGUUUUGCGCUUUGGGCCAUCUGGAUAGACAAAAAUACUAGAAUACACAAACGGAAGGUCAAUAAAGGAAGGGAAAUAGCAUGGUUCAUUGUUAACUACAUUACUGAGAUAAACGAAAUUGACAGGAGGAACCUUAGAAAGGAACAUGAGGCAGUGAAACGGAGGGGUCCAUCAGGUUAUGCUAUAAAAAUCAAUUUCGACAGUGCGUAUGAUGGUCGUAACUAUAGGUUGGCCUUGGGUAUUGUCGCGAGGAAUGCUAAGAGGUGAGUUUUGUUUUCAUGCUCGGAGAUUCAUGAUGGGGUCUCGAUAAUAUUUUCUGCCAAAGCUCUUGCAUGUCAUCGGGCGGUACAAAUGGGUCUAGGAAUGGGGUGGUUAGAGUCAAUAGUGGAAGGUGACUCAUUAGCCAUUAUAAAGAAAUGACUGACUUAAAAUCCAAAUAAAUCACAGAUAAGAGCACAUAUACAAGACAUUCAAUAACUAAAAGACAGUUACCAAAGCAUUGUUUUUAAACAUACUUUGAGAUCGGCAAACGAUUUAGCCCACAUUUUACCAACAGAGACUCUAAUAAGAAGUGAGAUAGUUUACAUGGUGGGGGGAGUCCCUGUGUACACGAAGCGAGUGAUGGAAGCGGAGUGGAAGUGGGAGCGGGAACCGGACUUAGGCGUUUCAGUGUGAUAGUGGAAAAAAGGGCGAGUGGUCAACACUGCAGGUGAACUAACAUUACUGGAUGCUACUCUCUGUGAAUUGGAACCGUUAGUAAGAGGAAAUAAAUGUUGUUUGUUUGGGACGAGAGCCAAGGAGUAAUCUGAUUGGGCAAGGUGCAGGUGAUAAAGGUUCUGGAUUUUUCUAUUGUAUGGACCUUUUCUUUUGUAUGGACUUUUAUGUUCUGUUAUGAACCUCUCUUUUGGUUCGGUUUUGUUGUUGUUUUGUUUUUUAGUGUUUUUGUGUGUGA